GGUUUGGAGAUGUGCAAUUAAAUUGGAGAGAGCUGCUAAAAGGUGCAUCAGCGUUUUGCUCGAGCUGAUUAAGAUAAAAGUUAAUUAUGUUGUUCAGGAAGCUAUAAUUGUUAUCAAAGACAUCUUCAGACGCUACCCUAACACGUAUGAGUCUAUCAUUGCUACGCUUUGUGAAAGUCGCUUUGUGAAAGUCUGGACACUUUAGAUGAACCAGAGGCUAAGGCAUCCAUGAUUUGGAUAAUUGGAGAAUAUGCUGAAAGAAUUGACAAUGGCUAAGGAUUGUAUUAUGGUCACACAUUUUUGUUUUUU